UGGCAGACGGGUGAGUAACGCGUGGGAACGUACCUUUCACUACGGAAUAGCUCCGGGAAACUGGUGGUAAUACCGUAUACGCCCUCAGGGGGAAAGAUUUAUCGGUGAAAGAUCGGCCCGCGUUGGAUUAGCUAGUUGGUGAGGUAAUGGCUCACAAAGGCGACGAUCCAUAGCUGGUCUGAGAGGAUGAUCAGCCACAUUGGGACUGAGACACGGCCCAAACUCCUACGGGAGGCAGCAGUGGGGAAUCUUGCACAAUGGGCGAAAGCCUGAUGCAGCCAUGCCGCGUGAAUGAUGAAGGCCUUAGGGUUGUAAAAUUCUUUCGUCAGGGAUGAUAAUGACCGUACCUGAAGAAGAAGCCCCGGCUAACUUCGUGCCAGCAGCCGCGGUAAUACGAAGGGGGCUAGCGUUGUUCGGAAUUACUGGGCGUAAAGCGCACGUAGGCGGAUUUUUAAGUCAGGUGUGAAAUCCCGGGGCUCAACCUCGGAACUGCAUUUGAAACUGGAAGUCUUGAGACCAGGAGAGGUUAGCGGAAUACCGAGUGUAGAGGUGAAAUUCGUAGAUAUUCGGUGGAACACCAGUGGCGAAGGCGGCUAACUGGACUGGUACUGACGCUGAGGUGCGAAAGUGUGGGGAGCAAACAGGAUUAGAUACCCUGGUAGUCCACACCGUAAACG
rnacentral:rRNA from 1 species